rnacentral:rRNA from 1 species
CGUAGGUGGCGCGGGUAGUCGUCGGUGAAAGCUCAGGGCUCAACCCUGAGUCGGCCGGUGAUACUCCCGUGCUCGAGUGUGGUAGAGGCCAAUGGAAUUCCGGGUGUAGCGGUGGAAUGCGUAGAGAUCCGGAAGAACACCGGUGGCGAAGGCGGUUGGCUGGGCCACAACUGACACUGAUGCGCGACAGCGUGGGGAGCAAACA